GCCUCAUGCCGAGUGUGUGUGAGUGUGUCCUUUUGGGUGGAUCAUUCAAUAACGCAUCGUUUAUGGUGAUGUGACUGUCUCCGGGGUUGGGGAUGGUGGUUGGUACAUUGUUGGGUGUCUGAGGCAAUAUGUCCUCUUGUGGCGCCGUUGGUGCUGAUGCCUUUUUGUGGGUGUUGGUGCUGGUGGGGCGUGUUGUUUGAGAACUAUACAGUGGACGCGAGCAUCUUAUUCUUUGUUCUUUGUGAACGAUUUAUUGAAUUCAUGCUUUUGUUAAGUGUGUAAGAGCACACGGUGGAUGCCUUGGCAUCAAGAGCCGAUGAAGGACGUGGGAGACUGCGUUAAGCCUAGGGGAGUUGUCAACCGAGCGGUGAUCCUAGGAUGUCCGAAUGGGGAAACCUAGCCACAGUGAUGUGUGGUUGCCUGCGCCUGAAUGUAUAGGGCGUGUGGAGGGAACGCGGGGAAGUGAAACAUCUUAGUACCCGUAGGAAGAGAAAACAACCGUGAUUCCGUUACUCCCCGCGAGAAACCAUGCCUAACUCG
rnacentral:misc_RNA from 1 species